AGCAGCCGCGGUAAUUCCAGCUCCAAUAGCGUAUAUUAAAGUUGUUGCAGUUAAAAAGCUCGUAGUUGAAUUUCGAGAUCAAUUUGUCGGUCGUGCCUCGGUACGUACUGGCAUUAUUGAUUUCUCCCUUCUGAAGAACCGCGAUGUCAUUAAUUUGGUGUCGUGGGGAAUCAGGACUGUUACUUUGAAAAAAUUAGAGUGUUUAAAGCAGGCGCACGCUUGAAUACAUUAGCAUGGAAUAAUGAAAUAGGACGUUUGAUUCUAUUUUGUUGGUUUCUAGGAUCGACGUAAUGAUUAAUAGGGAUAGUUGGGGGCAUUAGUAUUCAAUUGUCAGAGGUGAAAUUCUUGGAUUUAUUGAAGACUAACUACUGCGAAAGCAUUUGCCAAGGAUGUUUUCAUUAAUCAAGAACGAAAGUUAGGGGAUCGAAGACGAUCAGAUACCGUCGUAGUCUUAACCAUAAACUAUGCCGACUAGGGAUCGGAUGAUGUUAAUUUUUAAUGA
rnacentral:rRNA from 1 species